rnacentral:rRNA from 1 species
CCGAAUUCGUCGACAACAGAGUUUGAUCCUGGCUCAGGAUGAACGCUGGCGGCGUGCUUAACACAUGCAAGUCGAACGAUGAAGCCGGAGCUUGCUCUGGUGGAUUGUGGCGAACGGGUGAGUAACACGUGAGCAACCUGCCCCUGACUCUGGGAUAACAGCCGGAAACGGCUGCUAAUACCGGAUAUGCACCAUGAACGCAUGUUCUGUGGUGGGAAAGAUUUUUCGGUUGGGGAUGGGCUCGCGGCCUAUCAGCUUGUUGGUGAGGUAAUGGCUCACCAAGGCGUCGACGGGUAGCCGGCCUGAGAGGGUGACCGGCCACACUGGGACUGAGACACGGCCCAGACUCCUACGGGAGGCAGCAGUGGGGAAUAUUGCACAAUGGGCGAAAGCCUGAUGCAGCAACGCCGCGUGAGGGAUGACGGCCUUCGGGUUGUAAACCUCUUUUAGCAGGGAAGAAGCGAGAGUGACGGUACCUGCAGAAAAAGCGCCGGCUAACUACGUGCCAGCAGCCGCGGUAAUACGUAGGGCGCAAGCGUUAUCCGGAAUUAUUGGGCGUAAAGAGCUCGUAGGCGGUUUGUCGCGUCUGCUGUGAAAACUGGAGGCUCAACCUCCAGCCUGCAGUGGGUACGGGCAGACUAGAGUGCGGUAGGGGAGAUUGGAAUUCCUGGUGUAGCGGUGGAAUGCGCAGAUAUCAGGAGGAACACCGAUGGCGAAGGCAGAUCUCUGG